rnacentral:lncRNA from 1 species
GUCAAAACUAAAGUAAUACAUUGUAUACCUAUAGCCAUUACCGAUUUUUUAUUACGAAUGAAUGGCAAUACGUAGAAUUGGGAAGAUAAUUUGAAAAUUUCUUAAUAAACUGUUAUCAUGUAAUGUCCAUAGAGAAGCGUAUCACUGCACGAUUUUUACUCAAACACAACAGGUGUAACUGCAAAGGAUUGUUUACAACCAAUACGUACAAAUGCAAAACAGAUAUGGCAGCGUGUUGAAGUAAAUUUUAUCCUAAGCAUCAAUGCAAGAAUAUAGUUAACGGUAAAAAAUAACUGUGGUAUUAAUAUUUGAUGCUUUUGUAGCCUUUGCAUUAUCAAAUGAUGUAAGCAUCAUUGUUUUUCAUUAGAUAAAGUUUAUAGUCAUAGACCUUUUUGAAAUACAUAA